rnacentral:rRNA from 1 species
GUAAUGCCGGAUGCUCCGACUCCUCGCAUGGGGUGUCGGGAAAGAUUUCAUCGGUAUGGGAUGGGGUCGCGUCCUAUCAGGUAGUCGGCGGGGUAACGGCCCACCGAGCCUACGACGGGUAGCCGGCCUGAGAGGGCGACCGGCCACAUUGGGACUGAGAUACGGCCCAGACUCCUACGGGAGGCAGCAGUGGGGAAUAUUGCACAAUGGGCGCAAGCCUGAUGCAGCGACGCCGCGUGCGGGAUGACGGCCUUCGGGUUGUAAACCGCUUUUGAUCGGGAGCAAGCCUUCGGGUGAGUGUACCUUUCGAAUAAGCACCGGCUAACUACGUGCCAGCAGCCGCGGUAAUACGUAGGGUGCAAGCGUUAUCCGGAAUUAUUGGGCGUAAAGGGCUCGUAGGCGGUUCGUCGCGUCCGGUGUGAAAGUCCAUCGCUUAACGGUGGAUCUGCGCCGGGUACGGGCGGGCUGGAGUGCGGUAGGGGAGACUGGAAUUCCCGGUGUAACGGUGGAAUGUGUAGAUAUCGGAAAAGAAC